AGUGAACGCUGGCGGUUGUCCUAACACAUGCAAGUCGAACGGCAGCACAGUAAGAGCUUGCUCUUACGGGUGGCGAGUGGCGGACGGGUGAGGAAUACAUCGGAAUCUACUUUUUCGUGGGGGAUAACGUAGGGAAACUUACGCUAAUACCGCAUACGACCUACGGGUGAAAGCAGGGGAUCUUCGGACCUUGCGCGAUUGAAUGAGCCGAUGUCGGAUUAGCUAGUUGGCGGGGUAAAGGCCCACCAAGGCGACGAUCCGUAGCUGGUCUGAGAGGAUGAUCAGCCACACUGGAACUGAGACACGGUCCAGACUCCUACGGGAGGCAGCAGUGGGGAAUAUUGGACAAUGGGCGCAAGCCUGAUCCAGCCAUACCGCGUGAGUGAAGAAGGCCUUCGGGUUGUAAAGCCCUUUUGUUGGGAAAGAAAAGCAGCAGGUUAAUACCCCGCUGUUCUGACGGUACCCAAAGAAUAAGCACCGGCUAACUUCGUG
rnacentral:rRNA from 1 species